ACAGCUUAACACAUGCAAGUCGAGCGGGGAAGGGUAGCUUGCUACCUAACCUAGCGGCGGACGGGUGAGUAAUGCUUAGGAAUCUGCCAUUUAGUGGGGGACAACAUUCCGAAAGGAAUGCUAAUACCGCAUACGUCCUACGGGAGAAAGCAGGGGAUCUUCGGACCUUGCGCUAAAUGAUGAGCCUAAGUCGGAUUAGCUAGUUGGUGGGGUAAAGGCCUACCAAGGCGACGAUCUGUAGCGGGUCUGAGAGGAUGAUCCGCCACACUGGGACUGAGACACGGCCCAGACUCCUACGGGAGGCAGCAGUGGGGAAUAUUGGACAAUGGGCGGAAGCCUGAUCCAGCCAUGCCGCGUGUAUGAAGAAGGCCUUCGGGUUGUAAAGUACUUUCAGCGGGGAGGAAGGUGUUGAGGUUAAUAACCUCAGCAAUUGACGUUACCCGCAGAAGAAGCACCGGCUACUCCGUGCCAGCAGCCGCGGUAAUACGAGAGGGUGCAAGCGUUAAUCGGAAUUACUGGGGCGUAAAGCGCACGCAGGGCAGGUCUGGUCCAAGUCGGAUUGNU
rnacentral:rRNA from 1 species